rfam:Myotis brandtii contig305473, whole genome shotgun sequence.
GGAAGUUCUUGGGUGAUGCACCCUGGAAUUGGGCUCCCUCCUCUCUGGUUCUGCGUGCGUCCCCCGAGAACCACA